UACGGGAGGCAGCAGUGGGGAAUAUUGCACAAUGGGCGCAAGCCUGAUGCAGCCAUGCCGCGUGUAUGAAGAAGGCCUUCGGGUUGUAAAGUACUUUCAGCGGGGAGGAAGGCGGUGAAGUUAAUAGCUUCACCGAUUGACGUUACCCGCAGAAGAAGCACCGGCUAACUCCGUGCCAGCAGCCGCGGUAAUACGGAGGGUGCAAGCGUUAAUCGGAAUUACUGGGCGUAAAGCGCACGCAGGCGGUCUGUCAAGUCGGAUGUGAAAUCCCCGGGCUUAACCUGGGAACUGCAUUCGAAACUGGCAGGCUAGAGUCUUGUAGAGGGGGUAGAAUUCCAGGUGUAGCGGUGAAAUGCGUAGAGAUCUGGAGGAAUACCGGGUGGCGAAGGCGGCCCCUGGGACAAAGACUGACGCUCAGGUGCGAAAGCGUGGGGAGCGAAACAGGGAUUAGGAUA
rnacentral:rRNA from 1 species